rnacentral:rRNA from 1 species
GAUGAACGCUAGCUACAGGCUUAACACAUGCAAGUCGAGGGGUAACGAGAGGAAAGCUUGCUUUCCUUGUCGACGACCGGCGCGCGGGUGAGUAACGCGUAUCCAACCUGCCCCCAACUAAGGAAUAACCUUGCGAAAGUAAGACUAAUACCUUAUAAUUUCCUCAGAUGUCAUCUGACGAGGAAUAAAGAUUUAUCGGUUGUGGAUGGGGAUGCGUCUGAUUAGCUUGUUGGCGGGGUAACGGCCCACCAAGGCAACGAUCAGUAGGGGUUCUGAGAGGAAGGUCCCCCACAUUGGAACUGAGACACGGUCCAAACUCCUACGGGAGGCAGCAGUGAGGAAUAUUGGUCAAUGGGCGGAAGCCUGAACCAGCCAAGUAGCGUGCAGGAUGACGGCCCUAUGGGUUGUAAACUGCUUUUAUACAGGAAUAAAGUUAGCCACGUGUGGUUAUUUGUAGGUACUGUAUGAAUAAGGACCGGCUAAUUCCGUGCCAGCAGCCGCAGUAA